rnacentral:rRNA from 1 species
GAGAGCUUGCUUUCUAGAGACCGGCGGAUGGGUGAGUAACGCGUAUGCAACCUACCUUUUACAGGGGAAUAGCCCGGAGAAAUUCGGAUUAAUGCUCCAUGGUUUAUAAGAGUGGCAUCACUUAUAUAAUAAAGAUUUAUCGGUAAAAGAUGGGCAUGCGUAUCAUUAGCUAGUUGGUGUGGUAACGGCAUACCAAGGCGACGAUGAUUAGGGGUCCUGAGAGGGAGAUCCCCCACACUGGUACUGAGACACGGACCAGACUCCUACGGGAGGCAGCAGUGAGGAAUAUUGGUCAAUGGAGGCAACUCUGAACCAGCCAUGCCGCGUGCAGGAUGACGGUCCUAUGGAUUGUAAACUGCUUUUGUACGGGAAGAAAUGUAAUUACGAGUAAUUAUUUGACGGUACCGUAAGAAUAAGGAUCGGCUAACUCCGUGCCAGCAGCCGCGGUAAUACGGAGGAUCCGAGCGUUAUCCGGAAUUAUUGGGUUUAAAGGGUUCGUAGGCGGUUUAGUAAGUCAGUGGUGAAAUCUUGCAGCUUAACUGUAAAAUUGCCGUUGAUACUGCUAAACUUGAAUAGUAUGGAAGUAAUUAGAAUAUGUAGUGUAGCGGUGAAAUGCUUAGAUAUUACAUGGAAUACCAAUUGCGAAGGCAGAUUACUACGUACUUAUUGACGCUGAUGAACGAAAGCGUGGGUAGCGAACAGGAUUAGAUACCCUGGUAGUCCACGCCGUAAACGAUGGAUACUAGCUGUUCGGUCUUCGGAUUGAGUGGCUAAGCGAAAGUGAUAAGUAUCCCACCUGGGGAGUACGUUCGCAAGAAUGAAACUCAAAGGAAUUGACGGGGGCCCGCACAAGCGGUGGAGCAUGUGGUUUAAUUCGAUGAUACGCGAGGAACCUUACCAAGGCUUAAAUGUAGAUUGACAGGUUUAGAGAUAGACUUUUCUUCGGACAAUUUACAAGGUGCUGCAUGGUUGUCGUCAGCUCGUGCCGUGAGGUGUCAGGUUAAGUCCUAUAACGAGCGCAACCCCUAUUGUUAGUUGCCAGCGAGUAAUGUCGGGAACUCUAGCAAGACUGCCGGUGCAAACCGUGAGGAAGGUGGGGAUGACGUCAAAUCAUCACGGCCCUUACGUCUUGGGCUACACACGUGCUACAAUGGCCAGUACAGAAAGCAGCUACCAGGCAACUGGAUGCGAAUCUCAAAAGCUGGUCUCAGUUCGGAUUGGAGUCUGCAACUCGACUCUAUGAAGCUGGAAUCGCUAGUAAUCGGAUAUCAGCCAUGAUCCGGUGAAUACGUUCCCGGGCCUUGUACACACCGCCCGUCAAGCCAUGGAAGCUGGGGGUACCUGAAGUCGGUCGCC